GUGCAUCACCACCAGCUCUUUUCAAAGUCAUUUAUUCCACCAUUCCCCCCAAAAAGUUCAUGGAAUAAUUUUUCUUAGACUUUUACUAUUCUAUUGUUUAUAAGUGUAUUUUUUCUAGUUUUAUUUAUUUAAAAACAUUGUUUAUUUGGGAGGGGAACUUAUGCACGCACAGGCUGUAUGGAGGCCAGAGGACAGUUUUAGGAGUGGUUGUCAGGCUUGGCAGCGGCAAAUGCCAUAACUCACUGAGCUGUCUUGCUGACCUGCUUCUGUUUCUUUUGCUACUAAACUUUAUGGCUCAUUGAUUGAUGCUCACCGUCCGACUCAAUUAUUCUUAUGAUGGCAUCUUGUAAUUUUAAAGUAAAAUCUUAAAAAAAAUAUAUUAAUUGAUCUUAUCCUAAGAAGUGCUUCAGUUUUCCAAGUACUAGGAUUCCAGGUGUGAGUCACAACACUAGCUUCUCAAAUUAAAAAAAUAGCUGCAGUCAGUCUGCUGAGUCUUCAUCCUUGCUUCCUCUGCGUCCUGGUGAAGCAGCCUGCCCCCAGGGUAAAGAACACGCCUGUUCUCUCUAAUAGUAGCUGCAUGGCUUCACUGUUGCUCCUUUAGACCCUGAUUCAUUUGGAGCUUAUUCCUCUGUGUGGUUCGAGGUGGGAUCUGGUUUUAUUUAUCUCCAAAUGGCUGUGCAGUCUUUUUAACACCAUUUCUUUAAAAGUGCAUUUUAAUCAGGUAAUGUUCAUGUCUCCUUUAGUUUGCAUGAAGCUGCAUGUCUCCUAGAGGCUGUUUUUGACAUGUGGGAAGUCCUUGGUCUGUCGUGUCUGUGUGCAUCAGAGUUUCCGUUAUGGAGGUUUUAUGGUGGACUAUACCACCCGGAAGAAUAUACCAUCCUCCCUCUAGUACCUGAGUGUUGUUUUCAGUAUGAAAUUCUCUUUCAGUCACCCACUUAAAAACUUGGUGUAUUUGUAAAAGUUACAGUUAUUUUAUAUAUUUAUGUAAGUGGACUGACAUUUUAUAUUAGAUUGUUCUGUCAGAAAAUAAGAGCUCUUAUUUGGUUAAGUCUUCUUUUGUGUCUUCUCUGGAAUGUUUUAAGGUUUUCCUCUAAUGGAUUUUACACAUUUCUUAUUAUGAAACUUGCAUUUUUUCCACUUACUAUUCUGUCAAGCAGGUCAGUACAUGUUGACCCAUUUUAUUUUGUAAAAUGGAUCCAGGGUAGUCUGCCAUGCCCUAAUUUAAUUUAACUUUGCCUCUGUUGAUGUAUGCAUGUUACUUUUAAUUUUCCCACUUCCAAGCAGUUAGAAUUGGAAUUGCUUAUUCAUAAACCAUCUGGAUUUGGGGGGUAAUAAGUGCUGCCAAGUUAUCUGAUGAAGUUAUGCAAACUUUAGUGCAUAUGUACAUUGUUUUCAGAUCUUCAAACUUAUUUUUUAAGGAAAAACACUGCAAAAUUACUCUCUAAAAGUUGUGUGUGUUCAUUAACCUGGGUAAUACACAGUAGCAGGGGCUGGGGGUACAGUUCAGUUAUUCAGUGUGUGGGAGACCCGAGGUUCAGUUGCCAGAGCACUGUGAAUAAUAAAGUAGCAUAAGUCACAGCUUCUACCUUGAAUAACUGGAACAUAGUCUUGAAAAUGACAUUUAUGUACAUGUGGAAGUUCUCAUGGGAGGAAACCUUGAGUGGAGCCCAAAAGAAGGCAUUGCUGGGUCUAGUGUCAACACCCUCAAACCCGCACUCAGGGGGCAGGAGCGGGUGGAUCUCUUGAGUUUGGAGCUAACUUGGACUGCACAGCAAGUUCCAGAUCCAGGCCUAUGUAGUGGGACCUUGUUUUAUCCCCCCUCCCACAGGAGCGUGCAGAAAGUUAGUUUGGUGUGCUUGUGCUUGUGACAUAGGUUAAACUGACCUCAUCUUGCCAGGGAUAGAAACAUCCUACACUAAAAUGGUGUCUCUAUGCAAAAAUGACUUUGAGGUGAGGCCCAAAGAAACACUUGAGGUUUGGUUUCCUUGACAUCAGAGAGUCUUCUGGCAAGGUGACAAAUCACCCUCAAAUUCAGAGGUUGGAGUUAACAGUAAACACUAAUUUUCUCUAGCAGUGUGUUGGGGGGUGGAAUGGGGUUGGUUGGGUUCGGGACUGGGCUCUCUUCUGGUAUUCAGUCAAAAAUGUUAGGUUCCCGUCCCCCUGCAGGUUAGGCUGGAGGGUCCUCUUGCAGGGCGGUGCAUUCCCUGGUGCUGGUGGCUUGUGGAGGCGUGAGUUUCUCCACAGAGAGGAGCAUCCCCGAAGGAGAGACCCAGUGAAACAGGGCAGAUGCUUCAGUGCCUUUGGAUCUUCCUGUUGGAAGCCGUCCGCGGUCACUCUCUCCACGUUCUAUUCCUUAGAAACAAGCUGUAAGUUCAGCCCACAUCCAAGAGCAGGGGAUCUCAGUUUCACAUUUUCAAGAGGGAAUGUCGAAGAAUCUGGGAACAGAUUGUGAAACCUACACACUGUCCUGUCUGUUCUAAAAAGGAGGAGUGGUGCUAACCUUUGAAAAGGGAAAACACUCCUCCCCCUCUGCCACCCCCAGGGUAUCUGAGAAGAAGAAGCUGGCUGUAGUGGUGAAGGUUAACUGACUGAGAGAGACCUCCCCGGUGCAGGAAGAGAGGUUUAGCCGAGGUGGGGGAGUGGGGGAGAAGUAGGGAGAGUGGAAGAAUGGCGGCCUCAGAAUGAUGAGCCAACGACAAGGAAGAGAGAGACCAAGCAUGUCAGAAUUGGGAAGGAAAGCAGGCUUUGAGGGAAAGGGGGAGCUGAUUUGGUUGUGAACAUUCAGGGGGAGAUUCCUAAGGAGUUGAAAUUGAACAGCCAAGAUCCAGGUUGAAACCUCUCCCCAGAGAGGUGCCACCAUGAGGGCCGGGACGGGGCAGGGGGCGCGCAGUUUGGUGCAGGGCUGUAGAAAUGAGGCAGAUGUGUAGCAUGAGGGUAAAGGAAGAGCAGCUGCCUUCCUGGCAGGAGGGAACUGGAGCGAUCCAGGUGUUGGGGUUUGAAGAGAGCUGUGUUUAGAAAGAAAGCAUUUGCGGAACUGUGAAGGUGAUGGCCGUUUAAGUGGUAGAACUUUGGAAAUUGGAUUAUCACAUCUACAUAGAUGCUCAACUUUUUAAAUUGCUUGAGAUUGGGAGAACAAGUGACUGCCAUUCCGGAAGUUCCCUUUCUUUGAUGUUGAAAUCUUCUGUCUUCAUGAUUCUUUUUAGAACCACCAUGGCUCCCAGGGAUGGUGUCCUCUGCAGGCGGAGUUUUGUCUCACACACUUCUGGGAAUCUUAACUAAAGACUGGAGCUAGCUGCUAGUCUGCAACGUCUCUGCCUUGCUAGUCCUCACUGAUCACUGGUUCACGGGAGCAUUGAGCAUAGCUCAGAGCCGCUGGUUGCACAAAUGGCUGACUCAGUAGCUCAGGAAGACUGACUCUCAAGCAAAGAUGGGAAGUCAGCCUGGCAAGCUGGGAUGUGAGAGCUCACUUGCUGUUCUCCAUUUAGCCAGGAGGUUUCCUAGGCAACCACUUAAGCAGCAAUUAAAGAGGAAGAACUAAAAGGAGGAAAAUGUCAGCAAUCUGGGCCCUUGUAACAACACAGUACACCACCAAA